GUACAUUUGAGAUUCUUCAAUGUAGAAAAUAGUAAAAAUAAAGAAAAACCCUUGAAUGAGUAGGUGUCCAAACUUUUGACUAGUAUUGUAUAUGGAAAAACUCAAGCCCCUUAACCAAACCAACACAAUAACACUAAAUUAUCAUUAACAAACAAAUCAUCCACAGCAUGAAAAAAUUUACUUUACUUGAAGCCUGCAGGUAUAAUGCAUUAUGAUGAAGUAAGUUUUAAUACAUUUGUAAGACUUCUCAUAAGCAUGUUAUAGCUGUCAUUGAUAUGUUGUAUACUGUCUGUAUCAGCCAUAACAUCUCUUGUCUUUACUAUUCAUAACAUCUGUCAAAUCAUUAUUAUAAUGUUGCCAUGAACGUCUUGCGAAGGAGGGUUACCUCAUGUUCCUACCAACUGUUCCCUGACCUGGUUGUUAUUGAAAGAGCCAUUAUAAAGAAAGACAAGAAUUGCUUCUUGGAAUGCCUUCUGGAUAAACAAAGGUUAUUUUAAUCCCCCAGUCCUUCGCAGUUUCACUCAAAGCUGGCACUGAGGCUUAUGGCUUCCCACAUGGCACCCUAUUCCUUGUGUCCCUGGUCAAAAGUAGUGCACUUCAUAGGGAUUAGGGUGCCAUUUGGGACGUAACCUAUGGGCUGAGUCGUCCAUUAAGCUAACUAACUAACACACAUUCACAGGCUCCCUGCUUUCCUCUGUGCUUUAAUGUGGCAGGUAAUUGCCAGCUCCAUAAUGACCAUCUUACAGGCUGGGCCUGGAAAGGUUGCCUGCUGACUGGCUUUUGAUACACUGCAUUAAUGAAGUUUAUGACUCUUGAGCCCUGGGGAUCUGUCAAGCUCCCUUGUGCCAGGAAGAUAACUUUGCUUAGGUGUUAAAGUGACCUCGCUUUACCUGUAUGAUGAGAAUGUAUUGUAUACCAGAAAGCGCCUCUGCGCUAGAAGUGUCAGGGAAGGGGCAGCUGGGAAAUGCUUUUGCAGAAGUUUGUUUGAGCUUUGAAGAGUGGUUUUGUCAAAGACCUGUUAGCAGUAAUGAUCGAUUUUUUUUUUUCUUCUCCACUGCGUUUUCUGUCUCUUUACUUUACUGGUGCGUAAUCUGUCUCAUCCGCCAUCUUUUUAGAGUACCCACUUUAGUACUCAGAUAAUUAAAACGCUUGUCAUUACAGAGCGACUGCCCCUAUAAAUCAACUAAUCCCUUUUGAAAAUGGCCUACGUAGCAUCAAUAUGAGUCCGAAACAUUUAUUCUAGUUUUAGAAUUGACUACAAAGUGUAAUUAGGAUCAUUUGAGUAAUAAAGUCAGUCUUGUCUAAAAUGGAGUUUGGAACCUUAGUGUGUCACAUCGAGUAAAUUAAGGUUGGGUUUGGUUACAAUGUUAACAAAUCAUGCCCCCUUUUGCCAAACUCCACAUGCAAAUCGCCCCUCAGCCCGCUUCGUUCUGUUCAUUAAGUGGGGCUCCGUUGUUUCAUUGCCCCCAAUAAUUUCAAAGGAUCGCUGCCAUUUUAAACUGAAUAGCCCUGUACGGAUUGACCAUGCAAUGCAUGCUUCCAGCAGGAUGCACAGCCAACUGGUUUGCAUGCCCUGCCGAUGGAACCUAUCAUGCGGAAGUUGGUUGGAGUUUGUUGGUCCCCAGUGGUGGUGAGUAUACAGGUAGCUAGAUCACGAAUUGCUGGUUGUGCGUCUGUAGAUUUUGAUAAUCAUUGUCAGCUAUGCAAGUGAUGAUAGUGACGAGUGAUGUUAGCUAGCUAGCUACCCUAGAUAGGCUAACGUUAGCCAGCUAGGUAACUAUCUAGAUCGUUAGCCUAACUCGGUAGGUAAUUAACUUUUGCUUUGAAACACAAAAAUAUUACAAAACAAGAACCUUUUUUUAUAAUUGUGAUGUCGCCAGAUUGACUUUAGAUGCAGUAUAACUUUAGCCAGCUAACUUAAGUUUGAGGGGACCACCGUAUUUGACCUAUUUUAGCAUUGCUAGCUAUUUUUUUACAAACUUGCUAGUAACAGUAAUGGCAACAUUGCCAUCUCUAUAAUGAAUUUGACUACAUCAUAAUAUGGCAGUUUCCUAUUAAUUAUAUGUUAUCCUAUUUCCAUGCCACUAAGGGCUCUAUUCAAUCCGUGUCUUGGAAGUUCAGCUUUACAGCGUGAUUUAAAUUAGAAAGUAACGUUUCCGCUCUAGCUGAGACUGCGUUCACGGUAAACACUUCUCAAUUCAGAAAUGACCUUUUACAUUUAUAUCGUGGAAAAUGUAAUGCUUCAUCUUUACAGAUUGAAUAGAGCCCUACAUUUUUGUGUAUUAAUACGAAACAGUCACAUUAGCCUCUGAGGUGCAAUCCCAUAUCCAGGGAACAAAUACAUAUUGGAUACAGCUAUGGUGGUACUAGCUAACUCGUGUCUGACUACAACAAUGUACUAACUAGCAGCAACAAACUCAAGCCAUCCCAGGGCCAUAGCAAAACUUGUCAUAGCUUGUUUCAUAGUAUAAUGGCGUAACCGGCCUGAAUCUAAUUCAAUCUCGAGCCAGUCAGCCUACAUCUGUUAAGCAUAGAUUUAGCAUCCAAACAAGGUUACAUUAUUUCUCAAACUAUAUCUAUAAUUGAGGGUUGAUGACAGUCGUUAACCCAGUUUUUCUGUUAGACAAAGUGCAUAGUUGGGUGCCAGACUGAUCCCCUGGUCAUGAACGGAUGCCGGGACCUACCAUAUGAAGCCACUGUGGGUAUCAUAACAUAUCCAGCAAUGUGAUUGCAAUGGUUUAGUGACCUCCAACAAUAAUUUAAUUCACUGUUCACUUGCCAUUUCACAGCUUGUCAGGCAAGACCUCCGACUAAGUGUCAUGCGACACAAUUACCCUUGUGACACCACCUCCGUUGUUGCCAGACUCUCCCUCGACUCCUGAAAAGGACACGCCAUCAUGAGGCCUUUGAUAGUGACCCGAGUUACUGCCAUGAUGACAAACGGCUUCGACUACGACAGGUCCUCACAGUCAACACCACCUCAUAAGAUUGCCUGCUGCAGUUGUUUGAGAGAUGUCUAGUUUACAGCAAAACAUGCACCACAGAGAAGACCAGAAAGGGGAACCUCUUCAGCAUCUU